UACAGAGGGGGCAAGCGUUGUUCGGAAUUACUGGGCGUAAAGGGCGCGUAGGCGGCCUGUUAAGUCGAACGUGAAAUCCCCGGGCUCAACCCGGGAACUGCGUCCGAUACUGGCAGGCUUGAAUCCGGGAGAGGGAUGCGGAAUUCCAGGUGUAGCGGUGAAAUGCGUAGAUAUCUGGAGGAACACCGGUGGCGAAGGCGGCAUCCUGGACCGGCAUUGACGCUGAGGCGCGAAAGCCAGGGG
rnacentral:rRNA from 1 species